rnacentral:tRNA from 1 species
UGAGAUGUGGCUCAGUGGUAUAGCUCUUGCCUUGCAUGUACAACACCCUGGGUUCAAUUCCCAGGACCACAA